CAUGUCACAUAAGAGUAGAGCAUUGCCGGCCCCUUGGGUGACCAGGUGGGCUUUGUGCUGGGCGACCUCCCUGCAACCAGGGCUCGGGUCUUUUGCUGUAGUUGGCCUUUUGCCUUGUUGCUCCUUUGGCUGCCCGGGGAGUGUGGCCCCCUGUACGGAGGGCGAGAGCCACCUCUCCGCACCCGAGUGGGAAACGGAGCUCGCUGGACCCUGAGGGCACCCUGUAAGCAGGGUAGCGCCCUUUCCCUGCCACCCUUCCUCCCGCCCCUCGGCGCGGUUACCUGCUGGUGACCUGCCAGCGUGACAGCCCUGUAGUCGGGGUGCGUGUCGCGCCAUUUGGCCCUUGGCCCCCUGAGAAAGACCCCCUGGCACGUUGAGGUCCGUGGCCUCCGUGCAGCCUGGGGGCGGGUCAGAGGCUCUUGUCUGCUGCUCGUGGAUCCGGGUUUUUUGCCUGGUCAUUGGCUGCGCUGUGUUCUCCUUCCCUUCUGGAAAGCCGUACCUGUGUGCGAGUGUUCCCCUUCCUUUCCUUGUUUGCGUUUGCGUGGGUGACAGAGCGAUUGAGCUUUCCUUGUAGGCCUCCCUGAAAAUGGCUGCAGCUUAGCUUUGGCUUUCCAGGGGGGAAUGGAGGACUUGAUGCAUCAAGUCAGCGGGGUGUUCCCGCUCAGUCCCGCGAGUGGAGCGGGUGUCCUCUUGUCUCACCCCUUUUUUUCCUUAGGACAGAGCAGCGGUAGCGCGGUAGUUCCGUGGCCAAGGCCGCCCUGUAGCCAGGGCUCGGGUCUGUGCCUGCGCGGAUGCCUGUCCUGCUGGCGAUGUGCCGGCGUGGCAGCCCUGUACUCGGGGUGUGUGUCACGAGCCCUGGGUCCCUCUGUUCCCUGAGCAGCCCGCCCUCCUGUAAGCAGGUCUGGGGAGGCUGCAGUAGCGCAGCCGGCUGCUCUAGCCAGCUUGUGGGAACGACCCCUCCCUGGCCCGCUAGAGGGUGCAGGUUGAGGUGCUGCUUGAGGUUGGGGUGACCUCCCUUCUGCGUGGGUCGAGGUUGCUCCCUGGGCUCCCAGACAUGUGGUGCUGUGCUGCAGCCGGGCAGGCCGGCCCGUCGCUCGGGCGCUGGCAGGAGCUGCGUGCUCCGUGGGGCGUUUUGGAGAUGGUGAGGCGUGGGGUGCUGUCCUGUAGCAGGGCUGUGCGCCCCCCCCACCCGGUCUUGGUGAGAUGAUUUCUGAGGAACCCCUUGUACUCAAGUGGGUCUCUCUGUCCCCGGCCUUUCAGAGGCAUGGGGCUGGGCUUGCACCCUACCUGGAAAUUGGGACUUCUGGAUCGUGACCGUGGCCUUUGGCCCUACCGCCCCACUGCCUGGCUGCUGAGAGUCGUUCCUGCUGCUGUGGGGGAAACCGAGCUCUGUGGCUCCGUGGGUGUUGUGGGCCCGCCUGUAAUCAGGGUCUGGGUGUGGGAGCCUUUGUGCUCUGCUGGCAGCCUGUGUGGGGAGACCGCCCUGUUAGCGGGUGCCCCUGACUGGGAGAGAAGGAGCCUCCCUCAGGGCUUGGGACCAGGGCUUCCCUGUAAGUGAGGGCGUGGCGCUGGAGUCCCAGGCAUUUUGCAAUGGAAGCCGUGGCUGGGGCCUCCCUGUAAGCAGGGACGAGCCGACUCUUUGGCCGCUGCUUUGUGUGCCCAGCUCUGUUUGCCCAGGCUGCCCGACUCUGCGCCCUGCUGCAGCACCAGCCAGAUCUCCGCAGUGCAUCGAUGUGGAUCAGCUGGUGAAGAAAGAAGAAUCAGGAGGUGGAACACCAAGGCAAGAGCGAGCAAGAAGAGGAAGGAAGGAGACUACUACAGAUGGGCAAAGAGAGAGGCUCCCUGGGCAAAAGCAUGUCACAUAAGAGUAGAGCAUUGCCGGCCCCUUGGGUGACCAGCUCUGUUUGCCCAGGCUGCCCGACUCUGCGCCCUGCUGCAGCACCAGCCAGAUCUCCGCAGUGCAUCGAUGUGGAUCAGCUGGUGAAGAAAGAAGAAUCAGGAGGUGGAACACCAAGGCAAGAGCGAGCAAGAAGAGGAAGGAAGGAGACUACUACAGAUGGGCAAAGAGAGAGGCUCCCUGGGCAAAAGCAUGUCACAUAAGAGUAGAGCAUUGCCGGCCCCUUGGGUGACCAGCUCUGUUUGCCCAGGCUGCCCGACUCUGCGCCCUGCUGCAGCACCAGCCAGAUCUCCGCAGUGCAUCGAUGUGGAUCAGCUGGUGAAGAAAGAAGAAUCAGGAGGUGGAACACCAAGGCAAGAGCGAGCAAGAAGAGGAAGGAAGGAGACUACUACAGAUGGGCAAAGAGAGAGGCUCCCUGGGCAAAAGCAUGUCACAUAAGAGUAGAGCAUUGCCGGCCCCUUGGGUGACCAGGUGGGCUUUGUGCUGGGCGACCUCCCUGCAACCAGGGCUCGGGUCUUUUGCUGUAGUUGGCCUUUUGCCUUGUUGCUCCUUUGGCUGCCCGGGGAGUGUGGCCCCCUGUACGGAGGGCGAGAGCCACCUCUCCGCACCCGAGUGGGAAACGGAGCUCGCUGGACCCUGAGGGCACCCUGUAAGCAGGGUAGCGCCCUUUCCCUGCCACCCUUCCUCCCGCCCCUCGGCGCGGUUACCUGCUGGUGACCUGCCAGCGUGACAGCCCUGUAGUCGGGGUGCGUGUCGCGCCAUUUGGCCCUUGGCCCCCUGAGAAAGACCCCCUGGCACGUUGAGGUCCGUGGCCUCCGUGCAGCCUGGGGGCGGGUCAGAGGCUCUUGUCUGCUGCUCGUGGAUCCGGGUUUUUUGCCUGGUCAUUGGCUGCGCUGUGUUCUCCUUCCCUUCUGGAAAGCCGUACCUGUGUGCGAGUGUUCCCCUUCCUUUCCUUGUUUGCGUUUGCGUGGGUGACAGAGCGAUUGAGCUUUCCUUGUAGGCCUCCCUGAAAAUGGCUGCAGCUUAGCUUUGGCUUUCCAGGGGGGAAUGGAGGACUUGAUGCAUCAAGUCAGCGGGGUGUUCCCGCUCAGUCCCGCGAGUGGAGCGGGUGUCCUCUUGUCUCACCCCUUUUUUUCCUUAGGACAGAGCAGCGGUAGCGCGGUAGUUCCGUGGCCAAGGCCGCCCUGUAGCCAGGGCUCGGGUCUGUGCCUGCGCGGAUGCCUGUCCUGCUGGCGAUGUGCCGGCGUGGCAGCCCUGUACUCGGGGUGUGUGUCACGAGCCCUGGGUCCCUCUGUUCCCUGAGCAGCCCGCCCUCCUGUAAGCAGGUCUGGGGAGGCUGCAGUAGCGCAGCCGGCUGCUCUAGCCAGCUUGUGGGAACGACCCCUCCCUGGCCCGCUAGAGGGUGCAGGUUGAGGUGCUGCUUGAGGUUGGGGUGACCUCCCUUCUGCGUGGGUCGAGGUUGCUCCCUGGGCUCCCAGACAUGUGGUGCUGUGCUGCAGCCGGGCAGGCCGGCCCGUCGCUCGGGCGCUGGCAGGAGCUGCGUGCUCCGUGGGGCGUUUUGGAGAUGGUGAGGCGUGGGGUGCUGUCCUGUAGCAGGGCUGUGCGCCCCCCCCACCCGGUCUUGGUGAGAUGAUUUCUGAGGAACCCCUUGUACUCAAGUGGGUCUCUCUGUCCCCGGCCUUUCAGAGGCAUGGGGCUGGGCUUGCACCCUACCUGGAAAUUGGGACUUCUGGAUCGUGACCGUGGCCUUUGGCCCUACCGCCCCACUGCCUGGCUGCUGAGAGUCGUUCCUGCUGCUGUGGGGGAAACCGAGCUCUGUGGCUCCGUGGGUGUUGUGGGCCCGCCUGUAAUCAGGGUCUGGGUGUGGGAGCCUUUGUGCUCUGCUGGCAGCCUGUGUGGGGAGACCGCCCUGUUAGCGGGUGCCCCUGACUGGGAGAGAAGGAGCCUCCCUCAGGGCUUGGGACCAGGGCUUCCCUGUAAGUGAGGGCGUGGCGCUGGAGUCCCAGGCAUUUUGCAAUGGAAGCCGUGGCUGGGGCCUCCCUGUAAGCAGGGACGAGCCGACUCUUUGGCCGCUGCUUUGUGUGCCCAGCUCUGUUUGCCCAGGCUGCCCGACUCUGCGCCCUGCUGCAGCACCAGCCAGAUCUCCGCAGUGCAUCGAUGUGGAUCAGCUGGUGAAGAAAGAAGAAUCAGGAGGUGGAACACCAAGGCAAGAGCGAGCAAGAAGAGGAAGGAAGGAGACUACUACAGAUGGGCAAAGAGAGAGGCUCCCUGGGCAAAAGCAUGUCACAUAAGAGUAGAGCAUUGCCGGCCCCUUGGGUGACCAGGUGGGCUUUGUGCUGGGCGACCUCCCUGCAACCAGGGCUCGGGUCUUUUGCUGUAGUUGGCCUUUUGCCUUGUUGCUCCUUUGGCUGCCCGGGGAGUGUGGCCCCCUGUACGGAGGGCGAGAGCCACCUCUCCGCACCCGAGUGGGAAACGGAGCUCGCUGGACCCUGAGGGCACCCUGUAAGCAGGGUAGCGCCCUUUCCCUGCCACCCUUCCUCCCGCCCCUCGGCGCGGUUACCUGCUGGUGACCUGCCAGCGUGACAGCCCUGUAGUCGGGGUGCGUGUCGCGCCAUUUGGCCCUUGGCCCCCUGAGAAAGACCCCCUGGCACGUUGAGGUCCGUGGCCUCCGUGCAGCCUGGGGGCGGGUCAGAGGCUCUUGUCUGCUGCUCGUGGAUCCGGGUUUUUUGCCUGGUCAUUGGCUGCGCUGUGUUCUCCUUCCCUUCUGGAAAGCCGUACCUGUGUGCGAGUGUUCCCCUUCCUUUCCUUGUUUGCGUUUGCGUGGGUGACAGAGCGAUUGAGCUUUCCUUGUAGGCCUCCCUGAAAAUGGCUG